rnacentral:rRNA from 1 species
GAUCAUGGCUCAGGAUGAACGCUAGCUACAGGCUUAACACAUGCAAGUCGAGGGGCAGCAUGAUCGAAGCUUGCUUGAUGAUGGCGACCGGCGCACGGGUGAGUAACGCGUAUCCAACCUUCCCUAUAGUAGAGGAUAGCCCGGCGAAAGUCGGAUUAAUACUCUAUGUUUUCCAAUGCAGACAUCUAAAAUGGAACAAAGGUUUACCGCUAUAGGAUGGGGAUGCGUCUGAUUAGGUUGUUGGCGGGGUAACGGCCCACCAAGCCUACGAUCAGUAGGGGUUCUGAGAGGAAGGUCCCCCACAUUGGAACUGAGACACGGUCCAAACUCCUACGGGAGGCAGCAGUGAGGAAUAUUGGUCAAUGGGCGAGAGCCUGAACCAGACCCAAGUAGCGUGCAGGAUGACGGCCCUAUGGGUUGUAAACUGCUUUUAUACGGGGAUAAAGUGAGGGACGCGUCCCUUUUUGUAGGUACCGUAUGAAUAAGGACCGGCUAAUUCCGUGCCAGCCGCCGC